UUCCAGACUCCUACGGGAGGCAGCAGUGGGGAAUAUUGCACAAUGGGGGGAACCCUGAUGCAGCGACGCCGCGUGGGUGAAGGAGCACCUCGGUGCGUAAAGCCCUAUCGGCAGGGAAGAAACAGACGGUACCUGACUAAGAAGCCCCGGCUAACUACGUGCCAGCAGCCGCGGUAAUACGUAGGGGGCAAGCGUUAUCCGGAUUUACUGGGUGUAAAGGGAGCGUAGACGGCAUGGCAAGCCAGAUGUGAAAUACCGGGGCUCAACCCCGGGACUGCAUUUGGAACUGUUAAGCUGGAGUGUCGGAGAGGCAGGCGGAAUUCCUAGUGUAGCGGUGAAAUGCGUAGAUAUUAGGAGGAACACCAGUGGCGAAGGCGGCCUGCUGGACGAUAACUGACGUUGGGGCUCGAAAGCGUGGGGAGCAAACAGGAUUAGAUACCCCCGUA
rnacentral:rRNA from 1 species